UUCCGAGUCUGAGACUGAACUCUCCUUCCAAAACUGAAACUUGAAAGCAGAGAUCGCAGUUCGCAAAUACACAGAACCGAAAAUCCAUGUCUAAAAAUGUCAACAGAGAGAGAACGGCAAGGUUCUCUGCCGUCAACAUCGCCGGAGGACAACGCACUGUUUGUGGAUAUCAUGCACGAGGCUCCGCUGUUCGGCCACCGGAAGUCGAGGAACCUCUUCGGAAGUGUUUUCUACUUAAUCAUACUCGCCGGUUACUCUGCCGUGGCCGUCGCGGCUCCGUGGAUAUUUCAGGCCAUAGACGAUUUGAUACCCCAAUUGCUCUGCAGCUGCAACGUCCUUCUUCUGGUAGUCACAGGCAUUUUUCAGCAGUAUCUGGUGUCCCAGGUUCAGAAAAUUCGCUUACAGGGUUAUUAUAGUUUCAGCCAGAAGUUGAAGCAUAUUGUUCGCGUACCUUUUGCAGUUACUUCAUAUGGAACUGCUGCAUUGUUACUUGUUAUGGUCUGGAGACCCAACAUCAGUUUCCUUACUCUCCCAGCAAUAUUGAGAUGACUUGAGAGGCAGCAUUCGAAACCCACGAGGAAAAUAACAUACAAAUCACACGAUGACUGUUGCUGCGGUCAUAGAUCCUGAACUAUGCUGAAACAACCACUUUUUAUUCAGGGAGAGGCCAACAGUGGUUUGGACCGUCUCCGGCAGAAGAAGAAAACCGAAGUUAAACAGUAGAAAGAGAUGAUUCUUCUUCAGUUCAUGGGGAUGAGUUGUUUAAUUUCUGAAAUAAAUUAUGUGAUGUUGAGGGUUUUUUCUUAUCCAGUUAGUACUGUAUGUUGCAAGUAGUUCCCAACCGUUUGGUGUUCUUGAGUUGGGCUGUUCUUUUGACGAUUUAGUGACGAUUUAGUAGUGAAACUUCUACCUCAUUGAGUACCUUAAUUAUAUUUCUGGGGUGUGAAUUGUCAAUGCGUAGAGUAGAAUAAUACGCGUAGAUUCCAAAUUCAUUCUGGAUAUGGUGUACCUUAGAGGAACGUUGCACGUCUUAAAGUUGGAAAAUGCAGUGAAUGCAGGGAAGACCAACUUGAAAGGGACAGAAAUAAUUCAGAAAGUGGUAUGUAUUUUUUUUAUUAUUAAUAUAUUUUCUGAUUGUUUUAUCCGACA